rnacentral:rRNA from 1 species
GAUGAACGCUGGCGGCGUGCCUAAUACAUGCAAGUCGAGCGAACGGACGAGAAGCUUGCUUCUCUGAUGUUAGCGGCGGACGGGUGAGUAACACGUGGAUAACCUACCUAUAAGACUGGGAUAACUUCGGGAAACCGGCGCUAAUACCGGAUGAUAUUUUGAACCGCAUGGUUCAAAAGUGAAAGACGGUCUUGCUGUCACUUAUAGAUGGAUCCGCGCUGCAUUAGCUAGUUGGUAAGGUAACGGCUUACCAAGGCAACGAUGCAUAGCCGAACUGAGAGGGUGAUCGGCCACACUGGAACUGAGACACGGUCCAGACUCCUACGGGAGGCAGCAGUAGGGAAUCUUACGCAAUGGGCGAAAGCCUGACGGAGCAACGCCGCGUGAGUGAUGAAGGUCUUCGGAUCGGAAAACUCUGUUAUUAGGGAAGAACAUAUGUGUAAGUAACUGUGCACAUCUUGACGGUACCUAAUCAGAAAGCCACGGCUAACUACGUG